rnacentral:rRNA from 1 species
GCUGUGAGGCGUUGAGCUAACCUGUACUAAUUGCCCGUGAGGCUUGACCAUAUAACACCCAAGCAAUU